GACGAACGCUGGCGGCGUGCUUAACACAUGCAAGUCGAGCGGUAAGGCCCUUUCGGGGGUACACGAGCGGCGAACGGGUGAGUAACACGUGGGUGACCUGCCCUCAGCUCUGGGAUAAGCCUGGGAAACUGGGUCUAAUACCGGAUAUGACUCCAUGACGCAUGUUGUGGGGUGGAAAGCCUUGUGCGGCUGAGGAUGGGCCCGCGGCCUAUCAGCUUGUUGGUGGGGNGAUGGCCUACCAAGGCGACGACGGGUAGCCGGCCUGAGAGGGCGACCGGCCACACUGGGACUGAGACACGGCCCAGACUCCUACGGGAGGCAGCAGUGGGGAAUCUUGCGCAAUGGGCGAAAGCCUGACGCAGCGACGCCGCGUGAGGGAUGACGGCCUGGUGUAAC
rnacentral:rRNA from 1 species